rnacentral:lncRNA from 1 species
GGGUGGGCCCGUGGUUCGGGCGUGUUGUGGGCCAAAAAUCAAUUUGAGUGUGCCAGGGAGGUUGGGGAGCAUCCCAAUGUGGUCUGUUUGGGUCGGCAGGGGCCAUUUGGGUGUUUAAACGGGCGAAACGGUGUGAGCCCGGGGUUCGGGCGUGCUGUGGGCCGAAAAUCGACCUGGGCAUGUCAGGGAGGUUAGGGAGCGUCCCAUUAUGGUCUGUUUGGAUGGGCGAGGCCAUUUGAGUGGUCAAACGGGCAAAAUAAGGCAUUUUGGGGCCAAAUUGGUAUGCUAUAGCCCACGGUUUUAGGGGUAGGCCCGAGGUCCAGGCGUGUUGUAG